GACGAACGCUGGCGGCGUGCUUAACACAUGCAAGUCGAACGGAAAGGCCUGCUUUCCCUUGUGGAUUGCGGGUACUCGAGUGGCGAACGGGUGAGUAACACGUGAGUGAUCUGCCCCCAACUUGGGUAUAAGCCUGGGAAACUGGGUCUAAUUCCCGAUAGGACUGCAGGGUGGUGCCUGUGGUGGAAAACGAUUUUCUAGUGGUUGGGGAUGAGCUCGCGGCUUAUCAGCUUGUUGGUGGGGUAGUGGCUUACCAAGGCUUUGACGGGUAGCCGGCCUGAGAGGGUGACCGGCCACAUUGGGACUGAGAUACGGCCCAGACUCCUACGGGAGGCAGCAGUGGGGAAUAUUGCACAAUGGGCGGAAGCCUGAUGCAGCGACGCCGCGUGGGGGAUGACGGCCUUCGGGUUGUAAACUCCUUUCGACCGCGAGGAAGCCACCUGGUUGGAAGGGUGGUGACGGUAGUGGUAGAAGAAGCACCGGCUAACUACGUG
rnacentral:rRNA from 1 species